AGAGUUUGAUCCUGGCUCAGGAUGAACGCUAGCGGGAGGCCUAACACAUGCAAGUCGAACGGGAUUGGUAGCAAUACCAUGAGAGUGGCGCACGGGUGAGUAACGCGUAUGCAACCUACCUGUAACAGAGGGAUAGCCCAUAGAAAUGUGGAUUAAUAUCUCAUAGUUCUAUUAGAUCGCAUGAUUUGAUAGAUAAAGCUCCGGCGGUUACAGAUGGGCAUGCGUGACAUUAGCUAGUUGGUAAGGUAACGGCUUACCAAGGCUACGAUGUCUAGGGGUUCUGAGAGGAUGAUCCCCCACACUGGUACUGAGACACGGACCAGACUCCUACGGGAGGCAGCAGUGAGGAAUAUUGGUCAAUGGGCGCAAGCCUGAACCAGCCAUCCCGCGUGCAGGAUGACGGCCCUAUGGGUUGUAAACUGCUUUUGUACCUGAAGAAUAGGCCCAACGAGUUGGGAUUUGCCGGUAAGGUAUGAAUAAGCAUCGGCUAACUCCGUGCCAGCAGCCGCGGUAAUACGGAGGAUGCAAGCGUUAUCCGGAUUCAUUGGGUUUAAAGGGUGCGCAGGUGGGAAAAUAAGUCAGUGGUGAAAUACUGCCGCUUAACGGUAGAAUUGCCAUUGAUACUGUUUUUCUUGAGUAUGGUUGAGGUAGGUGGAAUGUGUUGUGUAGCGGUGAAAUGCAUAGAUAUGACACAGAACACCAAUUGCGAAGGCAGCUUACGAAACUACAACUGACGCUCAGGGACGAAAGCGUGGGGAGCGAACAGGAGGAUUAGAUACCCUGGUAGUCCACGCCGUAAACGAUGCUCACUCGCUGUUUGCGAUACACAGCAAGCGGCCAAGCGAAAGCAUUAAGUGAGCCACCUGGGGAGUACGAUCGCAAGGUUGAAACUCAAAGGAAUUGACGGGGGCCCGCACAAGCGGAGGAACAUGUGGUUUAAUUCGAUGAUACGCGAGGAACCUUACCCGGGCUCGAACGGUGCAGGAAUAUGUAGAGAUGUCAUAGCUAGCAAUAGUCUGUAUCGAGGUGCUGCAUGGUUGUCGUCAGCUCGUGCCGUGAGGUGUCGGCUUAAGUGCCAUAACGAGCGCAACCCUUGUCGUUAGUUGCCAUCAAGUAAUGUUGGGGACUCUAGCGAGACUGCCACCGUAAGGUGAGAGGAAGGUGGGGAUGACGUCAAAUCAGCACGGCCCUUAUGUCCAGGGCUACACACGUGUUACAAUGGCCGAUACAAAGGGCAGCUACUCCGCGAGGAGAUGCUAAUCUCUAAAGUCGGUCCCAGUUCGGAUUGGAGUCUGCAACCCGACUCCAUGAAGUUGGAUUCGCUAGUAAUCGCGCAUCAGCCAUGGCGCGGUGAAUACGUUCCCGGGCCUUGUACACACCGCCCGUCAAACCAUGGGAGCUGGGGGUGCCUGAAGUCUGCCACCGCAAGGAGCGGCCUAGGGUAAAACCAGUGACUGGGGUUAAGUCGUAACAAGGUAACC
rnacentral:rRNA from 1 species